UACAGAGGUCUCAAGCGUUGUUCGGAUUCAUUGGGCGUAAAGGGUGCGUAGGCGGCGCGGUAAGUCGGGUGUGAAAUCUUGGAGCUUAACUCCGAAACUGCAUUCGAUACUGCCGUGCUUGAGGACUGGAGAGGAGACUGGAAUUUACGGUGUAGCGGUGAAAUGCGUAGAUAUCAAAAAAAACACCAAUAACAAAAACAACCUUCUGGCUCGCAACUGACACUGUAGCGCGAAAGCAUGGGGAGCGAACAAG
rnacentral:rRNA from 1 species